GUAGGUGAACCUGCGGAAGGAUCAUUACUAAUUUUUUGAACGACCCUGAUGAACCGUGGUAUGGUUGUGUGUAGUGAAUGGAUGGUGGCAAUUGUGUUUGGUUAGCCAGCAUCAUUGCCAUCACCACUAUCUAUUACAGCCAACACAUGCAUACAAACAAUUGAUUAAACGUGGACAAUAGUUAUCAUGACAAUUAAAUAAUUAUGACAACUUUUAACAAUGGAUCUCUUGGCUCUUGCAUCGAUGAAGA
rnacentral:misc_RNA from 1 species